UAAUUCUGCCCUUGGAAAAACUGCCUCAACCGUUAGUCUCACCUGACCGUGCAGAGUGCAGAAAAUGGCGUCCCUGCUACCUGAACUUUAACUACUACCCAACCAAGAUAUAAAAUCAUAUGUUGUAAAGUGCUCUUUUUUCAAGAGUAGAGUCAAAAAUUGUAUUGUUCUUUCUCUAUAGAGAGCAAUGGUCAAGGAACUGAAAAGUAAAUUGCACGGCAAAAGAAUUGGGAUUUUAAUUGAAGCGUGCUUACAUGAGGUAUAAGAGGUGGCCAAAAGAGAUUACUUAGUAAUUUAGAUAGAGAUAUAGAAGCUAUAUAUAUAUACUCUGCACAGAGACGUACGAGUUUACGUUUAGAUUAAAAUGAUUAAUUUAAUAUAAAAAACUAAGUACUUUUUAAAACACGAGCAGGAGUGCUUUAUCAGAUAUAAAACAUGAAAGCGUAGCUCGAGUGUUUUAUAUCUGAUAAAGCACGGACUGCGCGAAUGUCAAACACUCAUUAAUAAUUCAUAAGCUUAAUUAUUUGCAAAUCAUGUCAACCAUAAUAUGUCACGUGCAGUGGCUUUAAACCUGAUAAUACACUCCUAAAUAAUUAGUAUUCUUUAUAUAAAGAAUACUAAUAAGGUGGUAUCUAUUGCAGUCGUGUCCUCAUUAGUAUUCUUUAUACAAAGAAUACUAAUAAGGCAGUAUAUUUAUAUUGAAUUUGUAGUCGUGUUUGAAGUACUAUUUAAAAAACGAGCAGGAGUGUUUUAUUAGGUUUAAAGCCACGAGCGCGCAGCGCGAGUGGCUUUAGACCUAAUAAAACACGACCUGCGAGUUUUUUAAAUGACUUCAAAAACGUUUGCAUAAUAAGUCAAAUCUUUAUAUAAAAAUCUUUAUAUAAAAAUCUUUAUAUAAAAAUCUUUAUAUAGUUUGCAUAACAAUGGUCUUUUGUUAAAGUGUUCUUUAGCUGAUAUAAAGACGUAUGCACGUGACUAAUUUCUUACUCAAGAUUGGAUAAUUGCUUCAUGAAUUAUUAAUGAGGUUUUGAAGUACUAUUUAAAAAACGAGCAGGAGUGUUUUAUUAGGUCUAAAGCCACUCGCCCUGCGCGCUCGUGGCUUUAAACCUAAUAAAACACUCCUGCUCGUUUAAUUAAACAGUACAACAAACGACCCAUCUGAUGAGUUCAUUGGCGAAGUAAUUUUAAAGUAUGGACGCUUGGUAGUAUAAAAUCAUGUCCUCCGUUUCGUAGUUUCCUCUUCCGCUUAUCAGGUAAUAAGACACGAAGGCAAUACUCAGGAUUUGUUACAAUUUUCCCCAUAAAGUAUUAUCUCUUUCCUCAAGUUAGUUCACUCUGGAAAUAUCCAUAGUACUUACUAUUAUGUAUAAUCUAGAACUCGCCUUAACUCAACAUUAAGUCAAAUUGAGUUUCCUAAUUAUUAGAGUCUUUACCAAGUGCAAGUUAGAAUAGUUCAAUGUUGUAACACUGUAUCUGCAUAACUCAAAUUAUUAAAGUGGAAGUCAAGUCUGUUCUGCGCAUCGUUUCUGCUCAUAACAAUGUGAGGACCUCUAAUGUAAACAUUGCCUAAAUUUCGAAUGUUUCGAAUUUUUCUGAACAUAAACUCUAUUUCAUAUUCAUUUAGAAGCAUAGCGAACCAAAAUGGUGUUAGAUAUUCAGACAGUACAUUAUAUUUUAAAAAAUACAGCAGUACAAAAUGUAAACAAACCGUUUGUUUACAUUACGGACUUGACUUCCACUUUAAGGAGGAAAUUUUGAGCACAAACUGUACACAAAUUUUGAGCGAAGUGCCACUAAGCCCUCUACCUCGAACCUGCGGCCCUGCGAAUCCGGCACUUCACUCUCUUUUUUUCGACCAUACACGAAACGGAAUAUCGAGAUAGCAUGACAUCUGGACAACUUUCUUUCCAGAAUGAAAAAGAUACGAGGAUAUGAUUUUGUCGACAUGAUCAAAUAACAAACGCGAUUUUCUUGUUUCUCUGCUACUAUAUACAAGUGCUGCCAUUUUCUGCUACUAUAUACAAGCGCUCCCAUAUGCCCCCUUAGUUCUUGGAAGCGUGACUUUAACCACUCAUGUGCAAGACGUAUCUAUAUAGAUUUAUUCAAUACGAUUAAUCGAUGCAGGUUGAUGAAGAUUAAUCGAUUACGACCCAAUGGGAGCGGCUCUGAUAUAAUCUCAAAUUAACCGAUAUUCUUUAUUAAUUAUAGCAAAAAAGUAUGAGACCUACAAUUGAAUACUUGAUGAAGACUCUUAAUGAAAUUGGUGGUGAUGAGGGAUGGUGGCCAGUUUGUUCCAAUGCGCUUGGAUUGUAGUAAUUAUAACUUAUUUUGAAAACAGGUCGGAAUUUUGUCAUCGUAAUUUUAAAUGAAUUUUAUGUAGCGAUAGCCUUUUUAAACAAGUAUAAUUCUAUGUAGUUGCUCUUGUGUUAAAUGUAUAGUAUAUGGUCCUUCAGCUCCAACUCUGCCCCCAAAGUUGGCCUAAAUUGCAUGUAAUUACAGUCGAUUUCACAUAACAUUUGCCAAAAUAUUCUGAAUUUCGUUUCAAAGUUCGGAGUACAGAGCCUGGAAGUAGAAGCCUGGCUUGCGAGGUUUUUGAUUGGCUUCUUGCAAUUCAUGGACCAAUUAGAGGCUUUGUUUACAGACGGCUUGUGAAUUUCAACACUGAACUUUCGAACUUCAAAACGAAUUUUGCGAACUUCGGAACGAAGUUUGGAACAAUUCCGCAAACGUUUUGCGAAAUCGACUGUAACAUGACCCAACCAAACCCCUUAUUUGUUGCAUGUAAGCUGUUAGCGCGUGCGCAGACAAAAUUGCGACCUGUUUGUUAGGAUAUUGUAUCCUAUAUAUAUACAUGAUCAUGGAAAAGAUGCAAGGGGUUGAUUGUACGAAUAUUAUGCCGGAUAGCGCUAUCCAUGCACCAGAUAGAUUUUUCAACCGUUACAAAAAUGCCUAAAAAGCUAUAAAAUUACGGAUUUAUGGACGUCAUAAUUAGCAGAAACUUUAAAUUGUAAAUGCUAAAGUUUAAUACAGGUUAUAUCAAUCAGCGACAAUUUUUAGCAAGCUUGAAAGAAUCGCUAUAUCCAGUGGAUAGUACUAUCCGGUUAACCCAUGCAUGCAGAUCGUUAAAUUUUAUAACAAUAGAAUUGAUGUUAAUUCGCAAUCAUAAAUAAUGUUUUUAGCCCGAGUCAGACUCGAGCUUAACGAGAAUCAUCAUUCUAGUGAUUGGCCAUUUUUGUUUUAUUGAUUAUUGUAUCGAUUGGUUGAAUAAGUGCUUGAUUGUUUAUUUGAUUGAUUAACUCAUUGGUGAUAAUGAUUAUUAUUGGGGUUUUUUCCCCGGGCAGCCCGGUUUUCCCCGAAUACAUAUACCGCACUGGGACCGGUUGUGUAAAAAUGGUAGUUACAGUUAACUAUAUAUAGCCUGUGUCAUGCACAUAACAUUACUGACGGUAAAGUAAGGUCUGUGAACUUUUGCGCGAUUGCUUGUUGCUAUUAAAUCCUGGUUUGGGGAUUUCAUUUAUUCAAAUUUGCAAUAAAUUCGUUCGCAUUAUCGAAAUUUGAGACAAUUCUAAGAAUCUUUUAUAGCUUUUGCACGAUUGUCCUAACAUUCGAAAUAUAUGUGAUUUUGAAUCUCUCUCCUCCGCAGAGGCUUUAGUUUUCUUAGGAUUUAAUAUUACGAUUAGAUACAUUUCACUACACUUUACAUGGCGGAUCUUACACGAGCGUAGCCGCUGGGCGAAGGAGCGCAGGCGGCAAAGGGAAAGGCGAGGCUUCGCGCCUUCAUAGCCAAUUAAAGCCUCUGCGGAGGAGAGAGAUUUUGAAUCAUGUGCUAUGGUUUAUGUAAAUUAAUCCUUGCGGAACUGGAAUUUUAUAUUUUUGUUAUUUUUUCAACCGUUACAAAAAUGCUUAAGGUGGCUCCCUAGCAAGCGCUAUCCAUGACCAUAACAAAAUACUAAAAUUUACCCAAACGCUAUAACACUUUUUCCAUAUUUGAAAUGGCUAUAUGUAUGUACUAUGAGUUUUAAAAGUUUUGAAUGAAUUUCAUACAUGCAGCAUUUCUGUAUUUAUACAACCGGUCCCUGUGUUAGAAAAUAUAAAAAUACAUUAUUAAGUUAAAUAGAACUAUAAACAUGCAACUAUUGGUUAAUUAAUUAGCAUUUUGAAUGAAAAUUGAUAGAAUUAGUAUUGUCUUUGACGUUCUUUAAGUGACGUUAUAUAUUAAGUGACAUAAUUAACAACGAUGGUUUUAGUUGUAAAAAUAUUAUGUAAUUGUAAUGUAAUGAUGAUGUAAUAUAAUGCAGUGUAUGAAGGCAGUAAGAAAGGCUGAUAGAAAUAAUUGCCUUCCGAAUUUCGCUAAUGGCUAAAAAGGAUGGACGAGAGGGAGUUCAAAACUUAAACACAUGCAGAUGUAUAAGGUUUAAGAUUGUUAUAAGUGCAUGAUGGUUGAUUCUUUGGUGUUUUAACGAUCCUGAAAAACACCCGUCAUCUUGAAAACCUUGCUCUCGUCCAUACGAGAUCGGGGUUGUUGCUAAAAGCGGAUUUCCAUUCAGUGCAAAAUGUCGCACGAUCAAUUUUUGGCGAUCGCUUUCUUUUGAAAUGUAUGCAGUCUAUUACAGCUAAUGAGAUUUGUUCCGCUUGACUGUUUGUACAUGCAUGUAUUUCAAAAGAAAGCGAUCGCAAAAAGUCGAUCACGCAACAUUUUGCACUGAAUGGAAAUCUGCGCUUAGAAGCCCUGGGUACGAGGUUGCAACGACCCAUGCUUUUCGUCUGCAGUUAACUUGUUUUAGAAGGCAGCCGUUUAAAAGGGAUAUUUUCAAUAAAACUGCAAUAUUUUUGCGACCAUGGAUAAACAUGGGAUGGUUCGACAUUUGGCAGUUGUGGACAUUUCUCUCCUGUAGAAGACAGCCUUUAAUUCUUGCUGCCUUUUGCGCUAUUCAAACGAAUCGUGGAAACACUGUCUUAAAUUAUAGUCAAACUAUAAUAUACUCUUGUAUCCGUAAACGAUG